AUUGAACGCUGGCGGCAUGCCUUACACAUGCAAGUCGAACGGUAACAGGUCUUCGGAUGCUGACGAGUGGCGAACGGGUGCGUAAUACAUCGGAACGUGCCCGAUCGUGGGGGAUAACGAAGCGAAAGCUUUGCUAAUACCGCAUAAGAUCUACGGAUGAAAGCAGGGGACCGCAAGGCCUUGCGCGAACGGAGCGGCCGAUGGCAGAUUAGGUAGUUGGUGGGAUAAAAGCUUACCAAGCCGACGAUCUGUAGCUGGUCUGAGAGGACGACCAGCCACACUGGGACUGAGACACGGCCCAGACUCCUACGGGAGGCAGCAGUGGGGAAUUUUGGACAAUGGGCGAAAGCCUGAUCCAGCCAUGCCGCGUGCAGGAUGAAGGCCUUCGGGUUGUAAAAUGCUUUUGUACGGAACGAAAAGACUCUGGUUAAUACCUGGGGUCCAUGACGGUACCGUAAGAAUAAGCACCGGCUAACUACGUG
rnacentral:rRNA from 1 species